GCAGUAGCCGCGGUAAUACGGAGGGUGCAAGCGUUAAUCGGAAUUACUGGGCGUAAGGCGCACGCAGGCGGUCUGACAAGUCAGAUGUGAAAUCCCCGGGCUUAACCUGGGAACUGCAUUUGAAACUGUCAGGCUGGAGUCUUGUAGAGGGGGGUAGAAUUCCAGGUGUAGCGGUGAAAUGCGUAGAGAUCUGGAGGAAUACCGGUGGCGAAGGCGGCCCCCUGGACAAAGACUGACGCUCAGGUGCGAAAGCGUGGGGAGCAAACAGGAUUAGAUACCCGCGUAGUCCCUGUCUCUUAUAC
rnacentral:rRNA from 1 species